CUAAGAUCUCUGAGAAAGCAGAUCUGUUUAGGUAAACCAGAAGUGAGAAUCCUCCUGAGGUGUCUGAGCUACUGAGCUUAAUUGGGCUGCAGCUGCUUUCCCUCCUCCCAUACUCAUUCCUGGUUCAGCUUGUAGACAACAGGGAUUUGCCAGUUAAUUGGCUGUUUCUAUGAUUGUCAUUCACUUAGGCACCCGUCUUCCUCUUUGUUACUACAAAAUGCUUCUCUUAAAAUGAUUUGCUUUCCUAUGGAUCCUGAAGACAAAUGUGCAACUCUGAAUCUUUAGGAUCUGUCACAGAGAGUCUGCUCCAUGAGGAGAGAUGGUGUAUGUUGUGGGACUUGGGGUGCUGUGGCGAACAGAGUCCAGUGGGGCUGGGACUGGCGUCCUAGGUUAUAUAUUAAAUAAAGAUGCUGGACUUGUUUCAAGUCUCAGAACCAGUUGGGCGGGUUGAGGGAGUUUCUUUUUAUUUCUCACCACCCAACUGAACAGAGGAAACUUUCAACUUCGUCAGGUGAAUGGUUUACUUGGAAUUGUUGAGAAAGAUCAGCAAACUGAGGUUUAGGUUGCAUAGUUCUGUCAUCUUUUUGGCUAUGGGCUAGACCCCCCAGAACAGAUGCAAGGCCACAGGAUUGAGCAAGAGGCCUACUAGCUCUCAGUUCAACUUCAGACUUAAGCUGCCAAUGUUGUUUUUUUUUUUUUAACUUGGCUGGCCUCUGACAUAAAAAGCAAUGGGAUCCACUGCCAAAAUCAAUACAUCGUAUGUGUCUGUGUGUCUGCCAGCCUCGGGUUGCCUCAUGGUGUUGGGUUUUGGUGGUCACUCUAUCUCCUCUCCUCAUUGCUCAGUGUCAAACUGCUGCCCAAGUUUCCGCCAAACUGUUUCCAGAGCCUCCAGCCCCUGCUGAUCCAAUGGAAAGUUCCAGAGUCAUUCUGAGAGUGUACUUCUUUGGAGCACUUGUCUCUCUCCUGGAAACAAAGAGCAUCCCAGAGCCAGUUGUUUUUCCACAACACCUGGAUCUUCUCUAAAGCUGUCUAUCAUGCAAAGUGAUCUGUCUAAUCAGAUUUUCUGUGAGCGGAUUUGAUGCCUUCCAGCAAAACGAAAACAUGUUGAACAGCUCCCCCCCAAUUCCCCUGGCUGGAUUUAUGUUCAAGACAAAGCUAUUUGCAAUAUUUCAGGUCAGUAUCACCUGGAGGCAAGAUUUCUUGACGCAACUAAGUGCUGGAGUCCCGGAAGUCCAAGGAAAAAGCCCGCAUCUGCUGAGGGCCUUCUUGCUGCAUCAUCCCAUGGUGGAAGGAGGAAGGGCAAGAGAGUGCAAACUGAAUGUUCUUAGAAUAUGCACAGAUCUGGGUCAUGGGCUUUCCUGAAUCACCUAGCUUUGCUGUGGUGCCUCGAUGAAGGUGGGGGUGGAGCAUACUGGUGGAGGCCUUGGGCAGAGUUCCUGAAAUGCUAUGAUACUCUGUUCAUUUUUUCCACUUAUUUCAAUAUGUCCAUAUACCCUUCUUCUUGGUCAUUUAAAAAGUUUUAUUAUUAGCAUAAAAAUAAGGCAGGUUUCAAAUAUAGAUAAUAAAAAUAACAGCUGACAUGUAUGUGUACCAGGCGCUCUGCCAGGAACCGGACGGUCAUCACCUGCUUUGAGUUUUACUCCAAUGUCACCUUCUCAAGUGAGCCCUUCCCUGGCCACCCUAUCUAAAAUGCCAACCUCCUUGCCCCUUCCCAUUUCUUUUGCUUUAUUUUUUUCUCCUUAGUGCUCAUCCCUCUCUAACACACUCUAUUUUUCAUGAUUUAGCUUCUUGGUCUCUUUCUCUCUAGAACACGUACUCCCUGAGGUCAAAGAUUUUCAUGUGUGUUGAUCAUCGCUGAAUCCGUGGCUCCUAGCACAGGGUCUGGCAUUCAUUCAUUGUUGAAUGAAGAAGUGAAGUCUUUAAUAUUCGCCACAGCCCUGCCCGAUAUGAUCUCCAUCUUAAAGCUGAGGAAAGUGAGGCACGGAGCAGGUUUUUUUCCCCAAAGACUGGAUGCAUUUGGGCCUCAUCAGAAAGCCAUCUGCUCUGUGCGCAGGCCUAUUCAGAGCCAGAAAAAGAAAACGAAGGAGGGGGAAGCCCUGGCUUACGCAUUUUGAAGAGCUGAGGCUUGCCAACCCCACCACGUCCUCCACAGAAGCUGACCAUGGGCAGUGGACUGACUGGGAAGGGAAGACGUGAGGACUUCUGCAGAGUGUGCGGUGACCUUGCACAACUCUAUUGCCAGGAAAGGAAAGAGGCUGACUGAAGAGGAACGAAAGCUCCGAGUAGGUCCUCCAGGAACAAGAUGAAUGGUUCAUGGCUUGCUGCCCUUCCAUUGAGGCCACCCCUUCACUGUAUUUCUUGUUCCUGUGUCACACCCCACCAGUCUUAGUCCAGGUCUCUCAUGGAAAGAUGCCACAAGGUUCUCAGAGGGCACCUCAUUUAAUGCGCGGGGUGCCCUUGCUGCUUGAGGGACCACCACCCAGGCUGUGGUGGACUAGCAGACCUUCCACUAAAGGUAGCCGCUCACCGCAUCCGCCAAUGUGCUCCACCCCCACCUUCAUCAAGGCACCACAGCAAAGCUAGGUGACUCAGGAAAGCCCAUCAGACCCAGAUCCAUGCGUAUUCUAAGAACAUUCAGUUUGCACUCUCUUGCCCUUCCUCCUUCUGCCAUGGGAUGAUGCAGCAAGAAGGCCCCCAGCAGAUGUGGGCUUUUUCCUUGGACUUCCCAGCAGUAAGGGAAAUAAAUGUGUUCUUUAUAAAUUAAAAAAUAUAUAUAAAAUACUUAAAAAAUCAAUUUAAAUUUUAAUGCUUGCAUUUUUAUAAGUACAAAAGCCAUAUAGCCUGGUCGUAAAACAUUUAAAUAAUACAUAUAUACCUAAGAAAGUUAAAGACCUUCCUUUUCCUAUCACAGAUUAUUGUUAAAUUUUGUUAUAUAUUCUUAAAGAAUUUUUCACUAUUUGUAUACUUCUGAUAUCUAUAGAACUGUAUACCUGAUAGCAUCCGAUAGUUUCCGUAUCCCACCUCACCUCUAGUUAUUUAUUGACCAUCUGUCUUUCCUACCAGACUAAUGUCCACAGGACCUAGACCUGGAUCUGAGCCCAGAUGGGGAGCUCUGCCAUGGAAGCACAUCUCAUUCUCCAUAAUUACCCGAAAUCACGUCCAUGUCCCCAACCAGAAGCCCAACUUGUACCCUCCCUCCCCCAUGGAGCUUUUUCCAUUUUACAGAGAGGGGAAAAUGUAGCACUCAGUUUUGACAUUUUUGAGAGGAAAGAUUAUCAUUAUUUCCAAAGAUAAAACAACGUUCAGGGCCUGGCUUGUGAGGUUGCUUGCUGAGUAAAUUAUUCAAACAUGGAGGUUGGUUCUGGUCGGCUGCUGUGCUACCAGAACUGUGGGCCUGGCUUAACUCUUGGCUGGCUCUGCACCCCGGUGCUCAGGGCUGUGCACCAUUAGGCUCCAGGCGUUCUGGCUAGCUCAGGCCUCUGAGGUGUGGCCUGGAGGUGAGGCUCUUGAUGCAGGCCCUGCUGGGAGUCUCUCCAUGGCCAAUUGCUACAGAGUGACAUUCUGGUCCACAUGCUCAAGGCUGGGCAAGGAGCCGUGGAAUUGCCAUCAGCUCAGAGAUUCUCAGGCACGCAACCACUGGGACAGAACUGACCUCCCACAUGACUCCUUUUUAUGGUGUAAUCCUUUUUUAAAAUUUAUUUCCACUCUGCCAUAGACUUGGCUCAUUCAUUUUCAGAGGGUGCAGUUUUCUCCAGGGAUGAAGUGUGCCGAUUCUUCAAUGUAUUUUAGCUUACAAGACGUUUGUCUUCUCCCCUUCUGUUUUGAUUUUGCUUUGAGCCAGUGGCAGAUAGUAAUUCUGAUACAGAAUAGCUAAAGGCAGUCCUUUCAACAGUCAGUGGUUUAAUCAUAGAAAAAGAAAUAUUCUUUCUCUUUUUCUAUUCUUUUCCUUCUCUCUGGCUGCCUCCCUCCCUCCUCCCUCCCUCCUUAUUUAUCUUAUUUCUCCUUUCUUUCCCCUCCCCCUCAUCCUUCCUAUAUGCACUGUUUUAUUUUUAAAUAUGGUUUUGUACUUUGUUCAUAAAAGAUGUUAAUUCUACCUCUCAUCCCCCCCCCCAAUUAGUAUACAAAACUGACUUACCAGAUAUUAAAAUAUCUGAAGGCCUAUGCACAAGGCACUGGGUUCAAUCCCCAACACCACAAAGAAAAUAAGAAAAAAAAAAAAAACAUAAAAUAUCUUUAAAAGUUCCAGGCACCAAAGUUAUAAGGUGACUAAAUUAUGAACGAGACUGUAAAACUAUUCCUAUAGAGUUCCAAGAAUAUAUGGGAAUAAAAUACAUUAUUAAAGAAACAUUUCAAAUCAAUAGAAGAGAAAGGGGUUCUUCAAGAGAUGGUGUUGAAAAAUACUGUCUAGUCAUUUGGAAAAAGUAAGCCUGAAUUUAAACCUCAUUUUUUAAUAUAAAAAUAAAAUCCAGAAAUAUUAACAAAAAUUUACAUAAAAAUGAAACCAUAAAGGUAGUAGAAAAAUAAGUAAAAUUCUUCAUAAUUUGGGGAUGGAAAGACCUUUAUAACAUAAAGAAAUUCAAGUAGAGGGGCUGGGGUGUAGUCUAUUGGAGCAUGCUUGAUCAACAUGGCUGAGGCCAAGGGUUCAAUACCCAUCACUGAAAAAAAAAAAAUCAAGUAGAAAACAAUGAUAGAUUCUGCUAUAUAAAAAUGAGAGUUUCUCUCUCAUCUGAAAGAAAUGUACCAUGUAAACUUUUGAAUGAGAGCGGAUAAGUUACAAAUAUAGGUAUGUGUAUCCUAUAUAAGAUGAAUAGCCUAAAUAUCUAAAAAGUUUUUACAAAUUAAAAAAACUGUGGCUGUCCUUAGAAAAUGGGAUUUGGCACAAUUUUAUUUCUACUUUUAUAUUCUUUCAAUUUUUUUUUACAUUAAGUAGUUUUAAUAUGUUAAAUCCAUUGUCUAUUAAAAAUAUUUUUAAAUGUAGAUGGGCAUCUUUUUUUUAGUACUUAGAUCUAAAGCCCAAAACAAUUUUUCCACAAUUGCCCAAUGAGUCUGCUUUGUGAUAUUAAUCAUUAUACAUAGCCUUCAGUAAAAUAACACUGAAAAAAUAAUAUCCAUGAGAAAUAAUGGAGGAAAAAUUAGAAGACAAAAAGAUUUUUAAUAUAGAGUGGCAGAUUCCAAAUGGAGUCCAUUUGUUCUUUCAGAACCUGAGUUGAAUCUA